GUGCCCGGAAAGGGGGUGAUAACGCGUGAGAACAUGCCCUUAGAUUGGGGGACAACAGUUGGAAACGACUGCUAAUACCGAAUGUGCCUUAGGGUGAAAGAUUUAUUGUCUAGAGAUUGGCUCGCGUCAGAUUAGCUAGUUGGAGUGGUAACGGCACACCAAGGCGACGAUCUGUACUUGGUCUGAGAGGAUGACCAGGCACACUGGAACUGAGACACGGUCCAGACUCCUACGGGAGGCAGCAGUGGGGAAUUUUCCGCAAUGGGCGAAAGCCUGACGGAGCAAUACCGCGUGAGGGAGGACGGCUUUUGGGUUGUAAACCUCUUUUAUCAGGGAAGAAUCGAUGACGGUACCUGAUGAAUCAGCAUCGGCUAACUCCGUGCCAGCAGCCGCGGUAAUACGGAGGAUGCAAGCGUUAUCCGGAAUUAUUGGGCGUAAAGCGUCCGUAGGUGGUUUAUCAAGUCUGCUGUCAAAGCGUGCGGCUUAACCGCAUAAGGGCAGUGGAAACUGAUGAACUAGAGUGCGAUAGGGGUAACAGGAAUUCCCAGUGUAGCGGUGAAAUGCGUAUAUAUUGGGAAGAACACCAGCGGCGAAAGCGUGUUACUGGGUCUGCACUGACACUGAGGGACGAAAGCUAGGGGAGCGAAAGGGAUUAGAUACCCUGCUUGGUCAAGGAAUCGUUACUCCCCCCCUCCCGAGGGAAAAUCGU
rnacentral:rRNA from 1 species